GGGUUGUGAGGUUAAGCGACUAAGCGUACACGGUGGAUGCCCCGCAGUCAGAGGCGAUGAAGGGCGUGCUAUCUGCGAUAAGCGCCGGUAAGGUGAUAUGAACCGUUAUAACCGGCGAUACCCGAAUGGGGAAACCCAGUGUGACUGUCACACUAUCAUUAACUGAAUCCAUAGGUUAAUGAGGCGAACCGGGGAACUGAAACAUCUAAGUACCCCCGAGGAAAAGAAAUCAACCGAGAUUCCCCAGUAGCGGCGAGCGAACGGGGAGGAGCCCAGAGCCUGAAUCAGCAUGUGUGUUAGUGGAAGCGUCUGGAAAGGCGCGCGAUACAGGGUGACAGCCCCGUACACAAAAGCGCAUGUGCUGUGAGCUCGAUGAGUAGGGCGGGACACGUGGUAUCCUGUCUGAAUAUGGGGGGACCAUCCUCCAAGGCUAAAUACCCUGACUGACCGAUAGUGAACCAGUACCGUGAGGGAAAGGCGAAAAGAACCCCGGCGAGGGGAGUGAAAAAAGAACCUGAAACCGUGUACGUACAGCAGUGGGGAGCACAGGUUUACCUGUGUGACUGCGUACCUUUUGUAUAAUGGGUCAGCGACUUAUAUUCUGUAGCAAGGUUAACCGAAUAGGGAGCCGGAGGGAAACCGAGUCUUAACCGGGCGUUAAGUUGCAGGGUAUAGACCCGAAACCCGGUGAUUCAGCCAUGGGCAGGUUGAAGGUUGGGUAACACUAACUGGAGGACCGAACCGACUAAUGUUGAAAAAAUUAGCGGAUGACCUGUGGCUGGGGUGAAAGGCCAAUCAAACCGGGAGAUAGCUGGUUCUCCCCGAAAGCUAUUUAGGUAGCGCCUCGUGAAUUCAUCUCCGGGGUAGAGCACUGUUUCGGCUAGGGGCCAUCCCGGCUUACCAACCCGAUGCAAACUGCGAAUACCGGAGAAUGUUAUCACGGGAGACACACGGCGGGUGCUAACGUCCGUCGUGAAGAGGGAAACAACCCAGACCGCCAGCUAAGGUCCCAAAGUCAUGGUUAAGUGGGAAACGAUGUGGGAAGGCCCAGACAGCCGAUGUUGGCUUAGAAGCAGCCAUCAUUUAAAGAAAGCGUAAUAGCUCACUGGUCGAGUCGGCCUGCGCGGAAGAUGUAACGGGGCUAAACCAUGCACCGAAGCUGCGGCAGCGACGCUGAUGCGUUGUUGGGUAGGGGAGCGUUCUGUAAGCCCGCGAAGGUGGCCUGUGAGGGUUGCUGGAGGUAUCAGAAGUGCGAAUGCUGACAUAAGUAACGAUAAAGCGGGUGAAAAGCCCGCUCGCCGGAAGACCAAGGGUUCCUGUCCAACGUUAAUCGGGGCAGGGUGAGUCGACCCCAAGGCGAGGCCGAAAGGCGUAGUCGAUGGGAAACGGGUUAAUAUUCCCGUACUUGGUGUUACUGCGAAGGGGGACGGAGAAGGCUAUGUUGGCCGGGCGACGGUUGUCCCGGUUUAAGCGUGUAGGCUGGUUUUCCGUGCAAAUCCGGAAAAUCAAGGCUGAGGCGUGAUGACGAGGCACUACGGUGCUGAAGCAACAAAUGCCCUGCUUCCGUGAAAAGCCUCUAAGCAUCAGGUAACAUCAAAUCGUACCCCAAACCGACACAGGUGGUCAGGUAGAGAAUACCAAGGCGCUUGAGAGAACUCGGGUGAAGGAACUAGGCAAAAUGGUGCCGUAACUUCGGGAGAAGGCACGCUGACACGUAGGUGAAGUGAUUUACUCAUGGAGCUGAAGUCAGUCGAAGAUACCAGCUGGCUGCAACUGUUUAUUAAAAACACAGCACUGUGCAAACACGAAAGUGGACGUAUACGGUGUGACGCCCGCCCGGUGCCGGAAGGUUAAUUGAUGGGGUCAGCGCAAGCGAAGCUCCUGAUCGAAGCCCCGGUAAACGGCGGCCGUAACUAUAACGGUCCUAAGGUAGCGAAAUUCCUUGUCGGGUAAGUUCCGACCUGCACGAAUGGCGUAAUGAUGGCCGUGCUGUCUCCACCCGAGACUCAGUGAAAUUGAACUCGCUGUGAAGAUGCAGUGUACCCGCGGCAAGACGGAAAGACCCCGUGAACCUUUACUAUAGCUUGACACUGAACAUUGAGCCUUGAUGUGUAGGAUAGGUGGGAGGCUUUGAAGUGGGACGCCAGUCUGCAUGGAGCCGACCUUGAAAUACCACCCUUUAAUGUUUGAUGUUCUAACGUGGACCCGUUACCCGGGUUGCGGACAGUGUCUGGUGGGUAGUUUGACUGGGGCGGUCUCCUCCUAAAGAGUAACGGAGGAGCACGAAGGUUGGCUAAUCCGGUCGGACAUCAGGAGGUUAGUGCAAUGGCAUAAGCCAGCCCUGACUGCGAGCGUGACGGCGCGAGCAGGUGCGAAAGCAGGUCAUAGUGAUCCGGUGGUUCUGAAUGGAAGGGCCAUCGCUCAACGGAUAAAAGGUACCCGGGGAUAACAGGCUGAUACCGCCCAAGAGUUCAUAUCGACGGCGGUGUUUGGCACCUCGAUGUCGGCUCAUCACAUCCCGGGCUGAAGUAGGUCCCAAGGGUAUGGCUGUUCGCCAUUUAAAGUGGUACGCGAGCUGGGUUUAGAACGUCGUGAGACAGUUCGGUCCCCUAUCUGCCGUGGGCGCUGGAGAACUGAGGGGGGCUGCUCCUAGUACGAGAGGACCGGAGUGGACGCAUCACUGGUGUUCGGGUUGUCAUGCCAAUGGCACUGCCCGGUAGCUAAAUGCGGAAGAGAUAAGUGCUGAAAGCAUCUAAGCACGAAACUUGCCCCGAGAUGAGUUCUCCCUGAGACUUAGAGUCUCCUGAAGGAACGUUGAAGACGACGACGUUGAUAGGCCGGGUGUGUAAGCGCAGCGAUGCGUUGAGCUAACCGGUACUAAUGAACCGUGAGGCUUAACCUUACAACGCCGAAG
rnacentral:rRNA from 1 species